rnacentral:rRNA from 1 species
UACGUAGGGCGCGAGCGUUGUCCGGAUUUAUUGGGCGUAAAGAGCUCGUAGGCGGCUUGUCGCGUCGACUGUGAAAACCCGCGGCUCAACCCCGGAACUGCAUCCGAUACUGCGUGGCUAGAGGUAGGUAGGGGAGAUCGGAAUUCCUGGUGUAGCGGUGAAAUGCGUAGAUAUCUGGAGGAACACCGGUGGCGAAGGCGGCAUCCUGGACCGGCAUUGACGCUGAGGCGCGAAAGCCAGGGGAGCCAAACGGG